UGUUAAUGCAUAGUAGGACUAUUCAAAUACUACGUUUUUUUUAGUACCUAAAACAGAGCUGAUUAGUUUUUAAUUUUCUCUUUCACUGCCUAUUUUUUUCAUUUCUGAGUUUUUUCUUCCUUUAAAUGAACCAUGCAUUUUGGUAUUUGGGGCUGUGUUUGGAGACCCUUAAAUCUUCCAGGUAAUCAUGUGUUUCUUAGAAUGCUGCCAACACCCUUCAGUGAGAAUAUUCUAUUUAUGAUCUUAUUUAACUAUGAGGUGUUGCUUCUACUACUAUAGGGGAUUGAAUAAUUCCUUUACAUUCUUCCAGUGCAGAGCAAAAGGCAAUGUUCCGAGACAUCACACAAUCCUACGGCCUUUGACUUUGAACACACUGGGCUUUGCAAAUGCUCAGCAACUUUGAGAAAAGUUAAAAAGACCACCAUUCUGAAAUUCAGAAGAAGUUGUUCCUCAUAGCUUAUUUUCGAAUAUUUUUUUUUCUGCUCUGCUUUAAUCUUCAAUAUAAUCCCACCUACUUUCUGUCUCCUAGAAAUAUGUGUCACCAGAUGACCUUCACCAGAUGACAUUCAUUUUUUUCUACUCUUGUGAAUUUUAGUCUAUUUCCAUUUUAUUUCUAUUCUCUAGGAAGAAAUAUUCAAGAGAAGGGAAAUGAGCAUAUGGCAUUAAGAAUUAGAAGUUUAUACUCAAAGGCUACACUUUUACAAAAUGAUAGCAUUACUUAAUUUUCUUCAUUCAAGACAAUCUUUUCCGACAGGAACAAGUGAAUCAAGAACCCAAGGAGAGAACUGGGCUUAUACUUUCAAAUCAAAGGAAAGAAGUAUUCUGACUUUGUCAAGGGUCCCAUUAACCACAAAAAAAGCAGUGACUUUCUCCAUUCUCAUGUUUUCAGAGUUUUAUUUUUGUUCCCAUCUACAUUUAUUAUUAUUUGUUUUUAUUUUUAAAUUUCAACUUUUAUUUCUCGCUUGUUGUGGUUGUAUUUCCUUCAGCUCCAGAGGCUUCUGUAGUGUUAUUUUCUUUACCCCUAGAGGCAAAGCCUUCCCAUCAUGAGUUAUGCCUUGUCAUUAGUUGCAUGGAGGCACUACUCUCCUUAUGUGAAAUCUUUUCCUCUAUGGCUGCAUACGCACCAUCCGAGGGAAAUGUCUCUACCAUCCUCCAUCACCACUGUGGCAACACUGAACCAUCCAAAACUCAGUCCAGGGCAAUUGGUCUGAGCCCAGACUCUCAUGGACUCAUAUCUAAAUUCUGAUAUACUUUCAAUAACGAUUCCUCUGUGAGGUGAUGUAUUACUCCAUUUUUACGUGAAAUCUUAUUGCUAAUGGACUCUAGCACUAAAACACCAUCAUAGAUUUGGUCAGGAAGAAACAUGUCCUGUGAAAGUUUUGAUACAUCUCAGAAAACAGGAAGAACACACUAAUGAGCGGUCUCUGCUAAACUCCCGUUCUGCACUUGGCCUCCAGAGGGCGAGGCUGCACAAAUUGGAGCUUUUGUUUGUGUUGAAGAUCAAUUCACUGCUCAGUUUCUUCUUCCUGCAGCUGGUUGAGUUCUUUCUAGACAGAGACAAGUGACAAGAAUCAGAGGUUUAAAAGCAACCACAUUCAUCUCUGCAGGUUUUGUAGUUUUAUAUAAGCAAGGAGCUCGUCCAGCAAACCUUCCGCACACUUCUUGUUCUUGGUCUCUUCAGCCACUUUCCUUCUUGUUCUCUGGAGAUCUUGCAGAAAAGAGCCUGUAGUGUUUCCCUUGCUCAGCCAUGCUCCUGGUGUUCAUCCCACUGCUGGGGAUACAUUUUGUCCUGAGAACUGCCAGAGCCCAGUCAGUGACCCAGCCUGAUAUCCAUAUCACUGUCUCUGAAGGAGCCUCACUGGAGUUGAGAUGUAACUAUUCCUAUGGGGCAACACCUUCUCUCUUCUGGUAUGUCCAGUCCCCUGGCCAAGGCCUCCAGCUGCUCCUGAAGUACUUUUCAGGAGACACUCUGGUUCAAGGCAUUAAAGGCUUUGAGGCUGAAUUUAAGAGGAGUCAAUAUUCCUUCAACCUGAGGAAACACUCUGUGCAUUGGAGUGAUGCUGCUGAGUACUUCUGUGCUGUGGGUGCCACAGUGCCUGGGUCUGCAGGGGGAGCUGAACACAAACUGCCUAUGCCAGAGAAGUUUUCAGAGACUCAGUGCAUCUUCCUGUGGCAUUUUCAAAGAUCUCUUGCUUUUAUGAUGAGUGGAAAGAACUGUAUAAGAAACUUUUAUACUCCUUGUCUGCUUGCUGCCUCGGAGGAUAACCAGUGCUUCGGAGGAAAAGGAGAAGGAGGAGGAGAGAGCUCUUUAGCUGCCAUUUAGCUCACACUAUAAUGUCUACGAGGGUAGGUGCAUGGGGACCCUGAAAAUAUAGAUCAAAUUAGUAAAUUGUGGGCAAUGGCACUCCUUAGCCAAAUGAUGAACCAAGAUGUCAACAGUAUGUUUUAGGGCGUGGUGAUAUGACUACAUGUGGUAAAUAUGUUUAAGUGAUUUCUGGAAUGCUGUGAGGAAGGUGAAUGAUGUGUCAGAUAUAUAAAAUUAUGAAAAAGAAAUGUAUGCUCAUUUAAUGUUCCUGCCUCAGUCCCUUCCUUCUUUCCUGGUUUUGGACCACACUCUCAUCUACUACUGAUAAGACAAAUAAUUUCAAGUGACUCAUUGUCGUCAGCUCAGUCACACUGCCCAAAAGGACUCAUCAUAGUAUCAUGAGCACUUUAUGCAGAUCGAUUUGAGAAAAAACUGCCCAUUUCUUUUGAUUCUGAUCUCAAACUGAAUAUUAAAGAAAAAUAAAUUUCAUACCAAGGACCCUAAGCAGCUGGGAGGGCAUUCCCCAUCUCCCCUACCUCACUUCUGCCUGAAAAAUCAAAGUAGUCUUGCUUCCUUCUACUAAUAAUUUGUUGCUUUUAUAUAAGUACAUGAUUUGUAGGAGAAACUUUCCAAAAUAAGGAAUUAUAUUAAGAAAGUGGAAAUUCUGAGUUAUUUUAUCAAUGAUAUCAAUCAUUCCGACUGUUCAGAAAGGAUUCUGAAUUUUCUUGUAAUUAACUGAUCUUACUACAUAUUCCAUCACCCAGAAACAGGUACCCUAAUCAAAAGGCGGAAUAUUUUACUGAAGAUCAAGCUAGAGCCCUGAAUGGGAGACAACAGCACAUAUGCUAAACAUUUUCUUCUCUCCCUAUAUCGUGUUUUUAUCUUAUGUACAAGCUAUUGGAAAUAAACUUAUAAUUUAGUGUAAAGGUAACAGAAUUUUCAGGCUGAGUGAAGUGGCUCACACCUGUAGUUUCAGCACUGUGGGAGGCUUAGGCAGGAGGAUCACUUGAGGCAAGGAUUUCAA